rnacentral:rRNA from 1 species
ACUCAAAGGAAUAGACGGGGACCCGCACAAGCGGUGGAGCAUGUGGUUUAAUUCGACGCAACGCGAAGAACCUUACCUGGACUAGAAUGCUCCUGACAGCUCUGGAGACAGAGUUUCUUAGGGAAACCUAAGCAGGAUGCAAGGUGCUGCAUGGCUGUCGUCAGCUCGUGUCGUGAGAUGUUGGGUUAAGUCCCGCAACGAGCGCAACCCUUAUCAACAGUUGCCAGCGGUUCGGCCGGGAACUCUGUUGAGACUGCCGUUGAUAAAACGGAGGAAGGUGGGGAUGACGUCAAGUCCUCAUGGCCUUUAUGUCCAGGGCUACACACGUGCUACAAUGGCCGGUACAAAGCGUUUGCGAAGCGGUGACGCGGAGCUAAUCGCAGAAAGCCGGUCUCAGUUCGGAUCGCAGUCUGCAACUCGACUGCGUGAAGCUGGAAUCGCUAGUAAUCGCGGAUCAGCACGCCGCGGUGAAUACGUUCCCGGGUCUUGUACACACCGCCCGU